GUCUUUUUGAAAAUAAUUUAAAGUCUAAUCUGCCCACUGAUUUUAAAUUAAAGGGCUGCAGUAUUUUGACUGUACAAAGGUAGCAUAAUCAAUAGUCUCUUAAUUGGUGACUUGUAUGAAAGAUUUGAUGAAAUAUAAACUGUCUCUAUUAAAUUUAUAAAAUUUAAUUUUUUAGUUAAAAAGCUAAAAUAUAUUUAAAAGACGAGAAGACCCUAUAGAGUUUUAUAAUUCAUUUAUUUUUAUUUUUGUUUAAAUAUUAAAAAUAAAAAUAAAUGAAUUAUUUUAUUGGGGUGAUAGAAAAAUUAAAUAAACUUUUUUUAAAAUUUUUACAUUAAUAUAUGAUUAUAUGAUCCGUAAAUUACGAUUAAAAGAUUAAAUUACCUUAGGGAUAACAGCGUAAUUUUUUUUUUUAGUUCAAAUAAGAAAAAGAGUUUGCGACCUCGAUGUUGGAUUAAGAUAAAAUUUAAAAUGCAAAAGUUUAAAAUUUUUGAUCUGUUCGAUCAUUAAAAUCUUACA
rnacentral:rRNA from 1 species